GUAGGUGGCAAGCGUUGUCCGGUAUUAUUGGGGCGUAAAGCGCGCGCAGGCGGGUUCUUUAAGUCUGAUGUGAAAGCCCACGGGCUCAACCGUGGAGGGUCAUUGGAAACUGGGGAACUUGAGUACAGAAGAGGAAAGCGGAAUUCCACGUGUAGCGGUGAAAUGCGUAGAGAUGUGGAGGAACACCAGUGGCGAAGGCGGCUUUCUGGUCUGUAACUGACGCUGAGGCGCGAAAGCGUGGGGAGCAAACAGGAUUAGAUACCCUGGUAGUCCACGCCGUAAACGAUGAGUGCUAAGUGUUAGGGGGUUUCCGCCCCUUAGUGCUGCAGCUAACGCAUUAAGCACUCCGCCUGGGGGGUACGGCCGCAAAGGCUG
rnacentral:rRNA from 1 species